GCGAGUAAAUAUAUGGCGGCGUGGUUUCGGCCAUGAGGAAAGUCCGGGCUCCACGGGGUAAAGGUAACUGCUAACGGCAGCCGAAGGCAACUUUAGGGAUAGUGCAACAGAAAUAGACCGCCCGCACCGCGGGUAAGGAUGGAAAGGCGAGGUAAGAGCUCACCAGCGCAUAGGCGACUAUGCGGCUAUGUAAACCCUACCUGGAGCAACACCCAUAUGGGGCAACAUGUGCACCCCGCACGCCCUGGAGGUGGCUAGAGCUGCGCAGCGAUGCGUAGCGAAGAUAGAUCGUCAUUUAAUACAGAACCCGGCUUAUAGUUUAGUCGCACAA
rnacentral:RNase_P_RNA from 1 species